GAGUUUGAUCAUGGCUCAGAACGAACGCUGGCGGCGUGCUUAACACAUGCAAGUCGUACGAGAAACCGGAACUUCGGUUCCGGGAGUAAAGUGGCGCACGGGUGAGUAACGCGUAGGUAAUCUACCCUUGGGUUUGGAAUAACCCGCCGAAAGGCGUGCUAAUACCGGAUAAAAUCUUUCGGAGGGAUCUGAAAGAUCAAAGGUGGCCUCUCCAUGGAUGCUACCGCCUGAGGAUGAGCCUGCGUCCCAUUAGCUUGUUGGUAGGGUAAUGGCCUACCAAGGCUACGAUGGGUAGCUGGUCUGAGAGGAUGAUCAGUCACACUGGAACUGGAACACGGUCCAGACUCCUACGGGAGGCAGCAGUGAGGAAUAUUGCGCAAUGGGGGAAACCCUGACGCAGCGACGCCGCGUGGGCGAAGAAGGCCUUUGGGUCGUAAAGCCCUGUCUAGAGGGAAGAAAUUCUCAAUGGAAUAAUACCCAUUGAGAUUGACGGUACCUCUGGAGGAAGCACCGGCUAACUCCGUGCCAGCAGCCGCGGUAAUACG
rnacentral:rRNA from 1 species